GACGGAUUGUAUCUCACUGGAUCAGAGGGAUGUAAUGCCAGAGUAAAGUAAUGCCACAACUUCCAUAAUGCCACAACUUACACAUUGGUGUUCAGAUCAUCUUUUCUCCUGAAAACAAUCAAUGUAAUGGCAAUAUUUCCAUCCACUGAAUAUAAAUUCAAAUAUGGAAUUGUCAGAGGGCACUGCAAUGAUUAAUUCCCCAGACCUGUACCGCUGUCCUUCUCAUCUGGAGACCUUGACCGGGAUGGAUCAAUUGUUUGUCUUCAAAGAAGAAAAUAUGGAAGAAUGUCUUGCAGAAGUUUGCUGUGGAAUAAAGCCUUUCAAGAAAUAUAAUGUGAAGGACAACACUGGGAACAAGGUUUUUGGUAUUAUUGAGGACAGCGAGUGUUGUGAAAGGCAAUGCUUUGCUGGUGCACGUUCCUUCAUAAUGAAUGUUACUGACCACUCAAAUCAAGAGAUCAUCAGACUGGUGCACCCGUUUGUUUGCUGCAGCCAUGAGCUGGAGGUUCAGUCUCCACCGGGAACUGCCAUUGGAUAUGUUCAACAGAACUUGCAUGUUUGUCUACCUAAAUUCACUGUUGCGAAUGAACGAGGUGAACCAGCAUUUAACAUUGAGGGACCAUGUAUGGGUUGUACCUGCUGCACAGAUGAAAACUUCGAGCUGGUGUCUUUGAAUGGAGCAGCGAUAGACAGAUCAUUUGGCAAAAUCUUCAAACCUUUCUCAUAUAGUGAACCAAACGCAGGUGCAGAUUUUGUGUUGAGGUUUCCAAGACACCUGGAUGUCAAAAUGAAAGCUACAGUACUGGGAGCCUGCAUGCUUAUUGACUGCAUGUAUUAUGAAAGGUCACAAUAAAAAGAAACUUUACAGUAAGCCUACUUCAGACAGAAGAAAGGAUAAAAUACAUAUGUCUGACUGCUUGCCAAAACAUCCUCCAAUAAGGGCUGAAGAGAGAAUAAGUUACAUAUAUUUUUUAUUUUUUUUGUAUUGUAUCUCUAAAGACAAAAAUAUAAACAAACAAACAUACUUGCAAAUUGCAAAUGCUGUUAAAGUCACUAACAAUAUGGGUCAAUAUCACUGUAAGGUGCCUUUUGGUGUCCUGUACAUAACUCAUUUGCCAUGAUAAUUUAACAUAAAAAUGACUAUGAAGGUGUGUGUUAUAUUAGGCUAAGUUUUUAUAUUCAUGACAAAAGCAUUACUUGGCUCUUUAGAUACAUUUUCUAGAUUUUUUUUUAAUUUAUUUUUUAUAGAUUUGUAUAAGAGGAUGAAAUUCAUUAAAUUUGAAUGAUGGUAGAAUAUUGUCAAAUCAUAAAAUUAUGUUCUCCUAUUAAUAUUUUGGUAAAUAAGAGAUUACUCAAUUUGAGUGCAUUGAUCAUUUGGUAAUAAAAACUAUAUUUAUAUUUAAUAAAAAGAAGAGUUUGUCCAUGUCCCUUGAAUGGUUGUCCACCCUGUCGUAUUGGGGAAUCCACCCCUUUAAGAAAAGGCCAUCCCCUUUAGUGUAUUUAUAAUUUGAACACAAACAAAUAGCCCUGUUUAUGAAAGGCACAUCAUAUCUUUCAGAAAAUAUAAUUUGCAUCUUGAUUUUGCAAUGAAAACGUAUUUAACAGUAAUAUAUACAGUAUGUCCAUGACAGGGUGCCAUAAUUAUCUAAAAAAAAAAAAACGUGUGGGAGCUCAGCUAAUGUUUCUAUAGAACUUGAGUGUCUACAAUUUAUGACAUGACAUGAAGUGAAUGGGAAAUUAAAACUAAAUUUUUGAGUAUUGUGAGGGUUGAAAGGCACUCUAUUGACCCCUAUGUGUAUUUUGUAAAUUCUUUAAUUCAAAACUAACAAAUUACACAUUAUCACUAGCUGUUUCAGUUUGUGUUUCUCUUAUAAGAAGGUCAGCAGAGUUUUCAUGCGUCGUCUGAAAGUGAAGCAAACAGCAGUAACCACAAACAGCUUCAGCUGAGGUUCUUUGUAAUUCAACACAGGGGAUGUGAACACCACAACUGGCACUUCUCACACAAUUCACACAGAAUGUUAAAGCUUGUUGCCCUGUAAAAUUAAUUGCACAAACAUGUAUAUUGUCUCUAGACCUAUUCAUCUAUGUAUAUAUUUUUGUCAAUUUCAUUAUGCAACAAACAUCUGGAAAUUAUGCAUUUUGUAUCAGACAUUUGAAACUUCCAAUGUCUCAUAAAAAUAUUAACAUGUUAAUAAACUUGUUUGUUGUCUGAAAUGUUCCACUACCUGUUUGAUCUAAAAUUAAAUAUAUAAAGGCUGUCACAAAAACAGUUACAUAAAGCAAUGCACUAUUAUAUUCAUGAUAUAUUUUGCCCAUUCAAUCUUUAAGUUAUAGCCAAAUAAUUAGGAAUACUUAUCAUCAGGGGUGGACUGGGGCUAAAAAGUGGCCCUGGAAUUUCUGGCACAGAGCGACCCACCACAUCCGGUCUGCAAAACACCACACCAUAAACCCACCAGCUCAUUAUGCACAGAGAAAUAUUUAACACCAUUUACUAACAUAACAAUAUAACAUAAUAAAGGCCUACAAAUGCUAUCUAUUUUUCUUUUCUUUCUUCAGAUUUAUUUAUUUUUAUUUUUAUUUUUUUGCUUAUCAUUAACAUUAAUGAAUGACUGGCAUACUUAUUUACAUUAUAAUUUGUUUUUCCUUGUGUAUAUGGCAAUAAAUAAUUUUGAAGAAUUUUUCCACAGAUCUUUGACAUAGAGGGUCUCCUUUCCAACUGUGGAAAGGAGUUUGAAAAUUCUUAUGAUGAAAAAUACAGUAAACAGUAAUAUUGUGAAAUAUAUAAUGCUACUUGACCAGUAAAAUUUAGAUGGAUGUCGAUUGUAAUGGAAGUAAAAUUAUUACAGUAACAUACAGUAAUCGUACACUAUCAGACGCACAAGUCCGUUAUUAUUAAUGUACAAACAAACAGACGUGUAUGUGUGCUCUUUGAUAGCAGCUCUUAGGGGCAUUAGACUCUACGCGAACCCAGUAAAAGUGUCAUAAUAACCUGUCACCCACUGCCACAUACUGAAGAGUUGUUUGCAGAAAUACCUAACGCCACAGUGGUCUAACAACCACAUACCACCACAGUUGCCGUUACAUGAAGAGAACAGAAACUUAAUGGCAUUCAUUACACAUGACGGUCCAUUCAGAUAUAGGAAAAUUCCAUUCGGGUUGGUGCCCAUGCUGUCUACUUUUCAGAAAAUGAUGCACCCUGUUGUUGAAAGAUUUGCUGGGUAUACAGAAUUACCUGGAUGACAUAGUUGUCUAAGUAGCUUGAACACUGAGCAUGACAAACACCUCAGAACCAUGCUUGGUCAACUCACAGAUGUUGGUCUCCAGCUAAACUUUGAAAAUAAUUCAUUCAACCAACCAACGUUUUCAUUACAUGGGUCACAUUAUUUCUAAAGUUGUUUGAUUUGUAUUAGCUUCUACAUAAAUAUCAAACCUCAUUGGUUUUUGCAAGUCUUCUGAUCAAAUGUCACGACACAAGAACUAAUGAGGUUUGAUGUUGUUGUUGUAGUAUUAUGUUGUAAAUGUAAAUGACAAUUAUCAUCUUUGGUAAUCUAUCCUUUUUUCCUUUGGAGUUUAGCUUCAACCCCAAUUAAACACACCUAACCCAGCUAAUCAAGGUGUUCAGGAUCACUACAAACUUCCAGAUAGGUGUGUUGAACCUAGCCUGACUACGUCAGACUUCCUACUUCCGCUCAAUUUCAUUUCGCUUCUGCACUCAGUCUGAUAUAGCAAACCAUCUCCCAGUUUAUCUCCGGCUCCGCAGCAGCCGGGCCAAUCAACGAACAGAGGGCGGGCUGAGAGCCGUGACGUAGACGCUAAGCGCCGAAUUUAAGAUUGUAGUUUAGGUGAGGGACAUCUAACACGACAGCGGACAUGGAGACACGGGAUGCUAUUCGCUCUGUUGUGGUGAAUAUUCUCGGAAUUUGCCAACUGAAGCCCGAACAAGAAGCGUGUUUGGUUCACAUUUUGAAUGGAGGUGAUGUUGUGGCCCUACUCCCGACAGUUUUUGGGAAAAGUUUAAUUUAUCAACUGUUACCGAUCAUCAGCGAGAAACUGGGGAGGCCAAACUCCGGCAAGGCAAUAAUUGUGAUUGUGUGUGUGUGUGUGUGUGAGAUGUGAUUACUUCACAUAAUCUGCAAAAGUCGUUCACAGCCAUCUUCACUCCGGUAUUUCGCUCGAUCAACCGUGUAAUGACCACGGACUUAAUUAACCUCCGAAUCUGUGGUGGCAUCAUGGAAUCGCCGAAAAUUCUGUGAUGGGCUCACAGAAGGCAUCAGCCGUGGUCCAUGCACGGAUUCACUGGUUCAACACCAGCGCUGCAUCGAACCAUGCUGGCUCGAUGGUUUUGUUUUCGCCGCAUACCUGUGUUUACAGAGGAAGUUCGAGGCGGCUAAGCCGGCGAAUAACAUGCGUCAUAACCAACCGUUAUGUGAUUGGCUUACGGGUACACCAAUGAUUUUAAACUUCAGACAAGCGCCCGCCCACGAGAAAGUAAACGCUUGUCAAUUAUGCCCUUCCAGACUCUGUCUACGAAGCAAAGCGAAGUAGCAGAGUUUGGUAUUACCAGGCUAUGUUGAACCAGGUUGGAGUUAAAGUCUGCAAUACAUUAUUGGCCCUCCAGGAGCAGGAUUAGACACACCUGAUUUAAGUGGCAUGAGUUUGAAUCCACUAUUAAAUCUUAUUUUGGUACUGAACAAAAAGGUAACAAAUUGGUUUGUUGCACCUAAACAAAGGUUGCUGCACCACAUCACUGGUGUUUUAUUUACAACAAAAGUAUACAAGUGUAAAUGUGCAAAUUUGAAAUUAAUGUUUGUGUUUUGUUUUUUGUUUUAUAAAAAGCAUCAAAGACAAAGAGGGGGAGAAAGGAUAAAUGAAUAAAGCUGGUACUUUAACCAUCUUAUAUUUUACAGGCAACAAACCAAAGGAUGAGGACAGCAGCAUUGCUGGGCCUGCCGUGGUACAUGCGAGAGACUACUUCAAAAUUCACAAAGAUAUGUGAGAGCCCAGUGACCGUGAAGAUGAUGUGAUUGGAAUCCUAGUGGUUGUGGACCUCUCCCAACAUUCUACUAUGACGUUGCCCUGAUGAUUGAGGAAGAAGUGGUAAUGCGUCACCUUAGUGAUGUACCUAAUGCUUUUCUGAACCUGAUGGGCCUGUUGUACGCAUUAAACCUUGACUACCCAAAGGAAUUAAAAUUCACAUUUGAAGUGAUACAGCGCCUGUUUAUUGGAGUCGGGUCAGACUCUUGCACUGCAAGAGUUCACUUUGAAGAGCAAGUGGCUGUGAUAAAACAGAAAAAAAUAAAAACAAACAAAUAUUUUUUCCUUCUUGCUACUGUUUAAUCGAUGGACUGGUUUAAAGUGUAAGCAUUGUUUUAUAUCUCAUUGUUUUAAGUGGAAUAUUGGUAUUCUUGAAAUUUUCAAACUGACUGUUUUGUUGUUGCCUUGUAAUGCUUCCUCUUUCCUUGUCAUGUUUCUACGAUUGGGAAUUGAAGAUCGUUUUUGAACAGUUUAAUGUGAAGUUUUUUUUAACACAACUUAUUGUGAAUUCUUCAUGUACGCUUGUUCCUGCAAUGAAAAUAUCUGAUAAUGACAAGGAGAGUUAUUUGUACUAUUUUGGCUCUAAGAUGGUUCUGUGCAUAGAGAUGUUAACAUAUGUUUGUGUGAGCUGUGUAUAUGUGAAGGUUUUC